UGGUUCUGGCAUCGAUGAAGAACGCAGCGAAAUGCGAUAAGUAAUGCGAAUUGCAGAAUCCGUGAGUCAUCGAAUCUUUGAACGCACAUUGCGCCCCUUGGUAAUCCGAAGGGCAUGCCUGUUCGAGCGUCAUUAUCACCCCUCAAGCCCUGGCUUGGUGUUGGAUCGGGUAGUCACAUACCCAUCUCAAAGAUAGUGACGCCGUCCACAGAGGGAGCCGGUACGAGGAGCUUUCACGAGCAAGUACCGAAGAAUACUCUGUGUGGCGGUCCGUCUUUACUUAUUUUCUCAAGUGUUGACCUCGGAUCAGGUAGGAAUACCCGCUGA
rnacentral:misc_RNA from 1 species